AUUGAACGCUGGCGGCAGGCCUAACACAUGCAAGUCGAACGAGUGGCGGACGGGUGAGUAAUGUCUGGGAAACUGCCUGAUGGAGGGGGAUAACUACUGGAAACGGUAGCUAAUACCGCAUACCAUCGGAUGUGCCCAGAUGGGAUUAGUUAGUAGGUGGGGGAACGGCUCACCUAGGCGACGAUCCCUAGCUGGUCGUAUAGGAUGACCAGCCAUACUGGAACUGAGAGACGGUCCAGACUCCUACGGGAGGCAGCAGGGGGGAAGAUGGCACAAUGGGCGAGAGCCUGAUGCAGCCAUGCCGUGUGUAUGAAGAAGGCCUUCGGUUUGUAAAGUACUUUCAGCGGGGAGGCGUUACCCGCAGAAGAAGCACCGGCUAACUCCGUGCCAGCAGCCGCGGUAAUAC
rnacentral:rRNA from 1 species